rnacentral:rRNA from 1 species
AUUGAACGCUGGCGGCAGGCUUAACACAUGCAAGUCGAGCGGGGUGAUGGUGCUUGCACUAUCACUUAGCGGCGGACGGGUGAGUAAUGCUUAGGAAUCUGCCUAUUAGUGGGGGACAACAUCUCGAAAGGGAUGCUAAUACCGCAUACGUCCUACGGGAGAAAGCAGGGGACCACUUGUGACCUUGCGGUAAUAGAUGAGCAUAAGUCGGAUUAGCUAGUUGGUGGGGUAAGGGCCUACCAAGGCGACGAUCUGUAGCGGGUCUGAGAGGAUGAUCCGCCACACUGGGACUAAGACACGGCCCAGACUCCUACGGGAGGCAGCAGUGGGGAAUAUUGGACAAUGGGGGGAACCCUGAUCCAGCCAUGCCGCGUGUGUGAAGAAGGCCUUAUGGUUGUAAAGCACUUUAAGCGAGGAGGAGGCUCUUUUGGUUAAUACCCAAGAUGAGUGGACGUUACUCGCAGAAUAAGCACCGGCUAACUCUGUGCCAGCCGCCGCGGUAA